rnacentral:rRNA from 1 species
UACGGAGGGGUUAGCGUUGAUCGGAAUUACUGGGCGUAAAGCGCGCGUAGGCGGAUUGGAAAGUUGGGGUGAAAUCCCGGGGCUCAACCCCGGAACUGCCUCCAGAACUUCCAGUCUGGAGUUCGAGAGAGGUGAGUGGAAUUCCGAGUGUAGAAGUGAAAUUCGUAGAUAUUCGGAGGAACACCAGUGGCGAAGGCGGCUCACUGGCUCGAUACCGACGCUGAGGUACGAAAGCAUGGGGAGCAAACAGG